CUCAAUUGCUUGAUACCUCUUGUUCCCUUCACCCAUUAGAUUUUAGACAAUCUUUACAUCCAUUACAUGCACCAAUUGAUGCUCCAUCAUUCACAUUUGGAAUCCAAUGGCAUGCGUCACACAUGUUGUUGCACCUUUGAUCCAUUUGUUGACACAUUUCACCUCCCUUUCCAUCUCUAUGCAAUGUACACAAUCAUUCAU
rnacentral:lncRNA from 1 species